GGUUAAUAAAUAUGGUUCUCCUCCAAUGGUGUCCGUCAAGCACACUCAUCUCUGUCCGGAGAUUGUCAAGAAUUGCUCAUGGACAAAUGUUUCUUUGAUUAUAGGAUGAGAGAUAAAGCUGAAACUAUUUAUUUCGUGAUGCAAAAAAAAAAAAAAAAAAAAUUAAUAACAGAAGAAAGGAUUCUUGAAGGCUUUCAAUGAAACACUUUUACAAAAGUACGCUUUUUUUGGAGAUAAAUAGAAAAAGGAGAUUUAUUUGAAUAUUUUCAAAUUUAAAAAACAUUACAACGGAAUAUUAUCUUAUUUGAUCUUCUCCAACGUUAUACUUCUUCAGAUCUCUCCAAUUCCUCUCUCUCUCAAAUCUCUCCAAUUCCAAUUCCUUUCUCUCUCAAAUCUCUCCCUGCCGCUGUAAAGACGGAAGCUGUUGGAAGAACAAUGGCCAGCCUUGUGAUGGGAAUGUGACUUCAGAUGUUACUCGUUACAGUGAGAUGAUUAUAAAUCCUGAAGUAGGAUAUUCCUGGUGCAAACCUGAUGAUCUGACAGAUGUGGAAAACUUCCCAUAUGAUGCUCAUCAUGUUUACCGUUCUCCAAGAAAUGCUGAGUAUCCUGAGGAGCCAUUCAAUCUCAGUGAUGCAUUUAGCAAUCCUCAACCUCGGGAAAUCCUGCAGAUUCUGCCACACCCAGUUUGGGGCGACUACAGAUACCCAACGAAGAGAGGACCUGGGGGCUUGAUGUUGGAAGAUUAUCUCAAUCACUUUACUUCUAUCAGGAUCCUGGUACAGAACCUGUAAAGAGGCACUGGCCAUUAAUAGACUUGGGGACUGAAAUUUAUGUUAGUAGGCAGGAUCAAGUUGCAGAGUGGACGAUUAGUGAUUUUGAUAUUUGAAUACCAAAAGAAUGAACAGUUAGAGUUUCAUUGUCAAAUUAAUAGGAUUUGGAAGUUUUUUUUUUUAAGUUGUCAAACAUUCUAUAGCCACAAGGAAGUUAAUAGUGAUAAUAUUGUUCUGAUCUUCUGUAGGAUUUCAUUCUUCAGAAAUGAUGAUAAAAGAUGAAGAUAUUGCUUAGUAGUAAUAACG